GAUGAAGAACGUAGCGAAAUGCGAUAAGUAAUGUGAAUUGCAGAAUUCAGUGAAUCAUCGAAUCUUUGAACGCACCUUGCACCCUUUGUCAUUCUGAAGGGUAUGCUCGUUUGAGUGUCAUUGUACUCUCACACUCCCGAUCUUUGCAUUGGGAGCAGUGGACUUGGGUUUGCUGCUUCACCGUCGCUUACCUCAAAUAGGUUAGUUCAACUCUUGGUUGGACAUAGUACGGCGUGAUAAGUGUUCUUCGCCGGUGCCUCGCAAAGAGGGUGGCCGAUCGGGAUGUUGUGCUCCAAACCGUCUUCGGACAAUCUCUGACGACUUGACCUCAAAUCGAGUAAGACUACCCGCUGAACUUAAGCAUAUCAAUAAGCGGAGGA
rnacentral:misc_RNA from 1 species